rnacentral:rRNA from 1 species
AUUGAACGCUGGCGGCGUGCUUAACACAUGCAAGUCGAUCGGUAACAGGUGUAGCAAUACAUGCUGACGAGAGGCGGACGGGUGAGUAAUGCUUGGGAAUCUGCCUAUUAGUGGGGGACAACCCGGGAAACUCGGGCUAAUACCGCAUACGCUCUACGGAGGAAAGCCGGGGACCGCAAGGCCUGGCGCUAAUAGAUGAGCCCAAGUCGGAUUAGCUAGUUGGUAGGGUAACGGCCUACCAAGGCGACAAUCCGUAGCUGGUCUGAGAGGACGACCAGCCACACCGGAACUGAGACACGGUCCGGACUCCUACGGGAGGCAGCAGUGGGGAAUAUUGGACAAUGGGGGCAACCCUGAUCCAGCGACGCCGCGUGGGUGAAGAAGGCCUGCGGGUUGUAAAGCCCUUUUGGCAGGGAACAAUUUUUGAGUGUACCUGCAGAAUAAGAGGUUGCUAACUCUGUGCC